CAUGGACGACCCAGAAAUUCAGGGGCCUUGAGCAAAGAAUGGAUAUGGUAAAUUAAAGUUCCUAUGAUUUUCAUCAAAAAGAAGCCAGAGUGAGGGAUGACAGCUCAGAUGAAGAAUAUCUCCCAACAAUUUCUAUAAGACCUCUACUCCAUGGAGCGGGUGAUGAGGAAUCUUCCAGAGAGGAGGUUGUCAUGCCCUCGUCCAGAUGACCCCAGAUGGCACAGCUGAAUCAUGAUGCAUCUCCGGCACACAGACUUGCUGAUAAAUGUGUAAAUUAUGUACAAAAGAAUGCAGCUAAUCUGUGGAAUUUCUUUGUUAAUUUAGUAUUAUUG